rnacentral:rRNA from 1 species
CCUACGGGAGGCAGCAGUGAGGAAUAUUGGUCAAUGGAGGCAACUCUGAACCAGCCAUGCCGCGUGAAGGAUGACGGCCCUAUGGGUUGUAAACUUCUUUUGAAUAGGAAGAAACUUAUCUACGUGUAGAUAACUGACGGUACUAUUAGAAUAAGGACCGGCUAGCUCCGUGCCAGCAGCCGCGGUAAUACGGAGGGUGCGAGCGUUAAUCGGAAUUACUGGGCGUAAAGCGCAUGCAGGCGGCCUGUUAAGUCAGAUGUGAAAGCCCGGGGCUUAACCUCGGAAUUGCAUUUGAAACUGGCAGGCUAGAGUCUUGUAGAGGGGGGUAGAAUUUCAGGUGUAGCGGUGAAAUGCGUAGAGAUCUGAAGGAAUACCAGUGGCGAAGGCAGCUUACUAACAUGUAACUGACGCUGAGGGACGAAAGCGUGGGGAGCGAACAGGAUUAGAUACCCUGGUAGUCCACGCCGUAAACGAUCAUCACUCGCUGUUGGCGAUAUACUGUCAGCGGCCAAGCGAAAGUAUUAAGUGAUGCACCUGGGGAGUGCGCCGGCAACGGUGAAACUCAAAGGAAUUGACGGA